AAAGAUUCAAUGGUGAUUGAACUAAUUUUAAGGGUUCAAUCGACUUUUAAAAGGCCUCCUAAGCCUUGCACUGCUGUAAACAAGAAUGGAAAUCUAUAUAGUUAUUUGCCUGAUCCAAAUUUAUAUGGCUGGGUUGCUUGGGGUGACGAUUAUACAACAGAAGGUGCUUGGAAUAAUAUGUGUGAGGGAAAGGGGAAGUAAUGAAGACUAUAUAUCAACUUAGAUCUUACUAAAGAAUAAACACAGGGUACCAAGGAACGUGUACCAAGGAAUGUGUAGCUAAUCUAGCUGAUGAAAUUGACAUGAAAAAUAAAAAAAUUGAAUGAGCUGAAAAAUAAAAGUGUAUCUAAAAAUAAAAAUCUAUCACUCGUUGUUGAAAAGAAAAAUAGUAAAGUGGAAUGGAGCUGGACACUUUGCUAGGUAACUGCGACUAGGUAACAUGGCCUGAAUGAUGACCCACAAAGUGCAGGAUCAGAACUCGAAGAAAGCAGCUUUGCGAGCACCGAGGGAUGGUAAGUUGGUUAGUUAGGAACAUAGCUUAAACCAACAACUCCUGAUGUAAAAAUAAGGGAUCAAGCCAAGGUGGUAAUUUUUGAAGUCAAACUUGUAUCCCAGGCCUUCUACUUGUGGUUCUGGUCAGGUUAAAGGCAGUGGAAACAAAAAUUCAUGGG
rnacentral:lncRNA from 1 species